rnacentral:rRNA from 1 species
UACGUAGGGGGCAAGCGUUGUCCGGAUUUAUUGGGCGUAAAGCGCGUGUAGGCGGCCCUGCAAGUCGGGUGUGAAAUCCCACGGCUCAACCGUGGAAGUGCACUCGAAACUGCAGGGCUAGAGUCCUGGAGAGGAAGGUGGAAUGCUUGGUGUAGAGGUGAAAUUCGUAGAUAUCAAGCGGAACACCGGUGGCGAAGGCGGCCUUCUGGACAGUGACUGACGCUGAGACGCGAAAGCGGUGGGGAGCAAACAGGG